UAGAGUUUGAUCCUGGCUCAGAUUGAACGCUGGCGGCAGGCUUAACACAUGCAAGUCGAGCGGUAACAGGAGAAGCUUGCUUCUCGCUGACGAGCGGCGGACGGGUGAGUAAUACUUAGGAAUCUACCUAGUAGUGGGGGAUAGCUCGGGGAAACUCGAAUUAAUACCGCAUACGACCUACGGGAGAAAGGGGGCAACUUGUUGCUCUCGCUAUUAGAUGAGCCUAAGUCGGAUUAGCUAGAUGGUGGGGUAAAGGCCUACCAUGGCGACGAUCUGUAGCUGGUCUGAGAGGAUGAUCAGCCACACCGGGACUGAGACACGGCCCGGACUCCUACGGGAGGCAGCAGUGGGGAAUAUUGGACAAUGGGGGCAACCCUGAUCCAGCCAUGCCGCGUGUGUGAAGAAGGCCUUUUGGUUGUAAAGCACUUUAAGCAGUGAAGAAGACUCCAUGGUUAAUACCCAUGGACGAUGACAUUAGCUGCAGAAUAAGCACCGGCUAACUCUGUGCCAGCAGCCGCGGUAAUACAGAGGGUGCAAGCGUUAAUCGGAAUUACUGGGCGUAAAGCGAGCGUAGGUGGCUUGAUAAGUCAGAUGUGAAAGCCCCGGGCUCAACCUGGGAACGGCAUCUGAUACUGUUAGGCU
rnacentral:rRNA from 1 species